GUCGCUUUGGGGCUUUUAGCUGCAGCUUCUCCUCCACUUUCUGCAGUGUUUUUCCUCUUUAAAGCCUCCUGGCUGCUAACAGGAUCCACCGGAGGAGCCCUGGAGCUACCUGGAGCUGGAGCCCGGCUGGGUGAGGGGGUGGCGGGCAGCGGCCGGGCCGAGGCCGGCUGAGGAGCCUCCAUGCUGCUCAGACUGAGGCUGGACAAGGCGCCGAGCAGGGGGGAGUCUCUGACGUGGUCCAUCCUCCUGCUCUGCCCUCCGUCCAUCCCUUCCUCCUCCUCCUUCUUCUUCUUCUUGUCUCUCGGCCCUCUGCAGCUCUUCUUCCUCUGCCUCUCUCCUCGGGGCACGGUGCCCACGUGGGUGUACAUGUCGCUGGACCGGGCGUAGCCGGGGCUCCGGAGGCAGGACUCCAGGUCAUCCACCGACUCGUCCCCCAGCCCUGCUGCUGGUUUGGCCCCGCUGAGGCUGAUGUCGGGCCCCGGGGAGGCUUUGAUGCUGGCCUUGCCCGGCUGGCGGCGGGUGGAGAGGUUGCUGAGGCUCCCGAACCAUUUCAGACCUGCAGAGGAGGAAGUUCAUUAACAGACAGAACCUAAAAGCAGGAACAAGUUUGUGCUGAUCGAUGGGUUCAAGACCAACAAAAGGAGCAACAAAAGCUGCUCUGAACAACGAGGCCACUCAGAAGGACGUACCAAGGAAGUCGUGUUACUGCAGAAAAAAGCCACAAAAAAGGAGAAAGUUCACUUUUUACUGCAGGCAGAAGACCUUAAAGUCAAGUUAAACCAAAAUAUUCACAACAGAUAAACAGAGAUGUUGACUUUUCAGACUAACAGGUUUCAACCACCAGGUGGCAGCAGAAGUCCAGAAAAAAAGAGACGAUGUGUUUUUCAGCAAAAAUGGGUGAAACAAACACAUAAGUUAACAAAAUUACAUAAAAAUUAUUCCAAAUUUCUCAAAAUUUGUCCAAAACUACUCACAAAUUGUUCAAAAAGACAUGAAAAACAUCCAAAAUUAUUAAGAAACUGGUGAAAGCUACUCAAAAAAAUGAAAAAACGCAGAACUUGUAGAGGCCUUUUUGUUGUUUUGUCUCGUUUUUGUUACUACAUGUCUUAUUUUCUCUUGCACUUGUGUCUCAUUUCCGUCAUUUUGUGUCUUUUUUUGGAAUUUGUGUCUCGGCUCUGUCAUUUUUCUUUUGUUUUCUGUCUCGUUUGCCAAAUUUUGUGACUGAUUUUGGUCAUUUUACGUCUCCUUGGUGUUGGUCUGUCUCUCUUUUGGAUGGUUUUGUCUCCUUUCUGUUGUUCUAUGUCUUGUUUCUGUAAUUUUGUGUCUUUUUUGUAUGUAAUUUGUGUUUCAUUUGUGUUGUUUUGUAAUAGUUUUGUCUCCCCAUCCUACAGAUAUUUAAUUAUAUCUAUGUUUGAGCUCCAGACUUUUCCUCUCUACUCUGCUCAUCAUCUGUAGAAAGAUGUUUCAUGCUGAAUGGAUCUCCAACAACUUGCUCUUUUCUUUUCAUUGAUCGACAAUAUUUUCUUUUCCUCUCAAUCUCUCUCGUCUUUGUGGAAACACUGCCUGCAGUUCAACCGAAUAGUUCCAUAAUUUUAACUGUUGGUUGCAGCCGAGUCUGUCGUUGCUUCUCAGUUGCAUUUUUUUUUUUUAGUUUUUACAGAUUCCAGGAGAAUUUUCAGAAUUUUUGUCACAUGACUGUUGACCACUGUUAAGUCAGUCAGGACUUCUCGGUUGCGUCAAGAAGUGCAGAAUCUUUAGUUUUUUUACAGAUUCCUGUUAAAGCUAACGGUUUACGUUUGAUGGAUUAUUAAAGGAGACACUGCCUGCAGUUCAUACAAGAUUUUCAGAAUUUUUUUUGGUCCAUUGUGACUUCUCGGUUGGGUCAAGGAGUGAAGAAUUUUUUAGUUUUUUUAAGCAAAUUCAGUUUCUGUAAAUAGUUUACUACAUGGUUUAGUUUUACUUUUCAACACGAGUAAAACGAAAAGAUUAAGAAUCAGAGCUUAUACGUCCAGCUCUGUUCUCAUCCCUUUAAUCAAGAACACAAAAGGCCCCUGAUGUUAUUUUUUCGUUCCUGUUGGGGCAAAAUCACAUCCCGGUUCUGAGAUCUGUUCGGAUCAGGUGUCAAAGUCUCUGUAAAACUCGCCCCUGAAAGAUUUUUCCAUCCGCCGCCAUCUGCCAGUAGAGAAACAUGAUGUCUGACGUGAUGCUGUCGAGGUCUCUUUACCGCAAAUAAACAGGAAGAACACGAGGACAUCUGGUGGAUCAAAAUUAAAACGUGUCCCUCAACUGACGACGCCAUCUGGCCCGCCGAGCUGCAAACGCGCUAAUUUAUGAUGCUUUCUUUCUUUUUUAUUUAUUUAUAUUCUUCAGUCCGCUCCACAGUGAAUAAAUCGCUGCGCAUUAAUUAAACUCACGUCGCCUCUCUGCUGUGGAGAAAGUGAUUCUGAAUGGAGGAUCAGAUCCGGAUCAAUCAGGGAGGCUAAAGGAGUGAAAGGAGCAGUUUUCAUGGCCCGGUUCCGUCCUGAUCCACUCACUGUGAUUAAGAUAAACAGAUUUUCAGUCGGUGUUGCCCCAAACCGGAUCAAUCAGAACCAUUUAUCGCUCCUGCUGAUCACAUGGACGAAAAAAAGGCCUUCUGGAGGAAAGUUCUGUGGUCAGAUGGAAGACAAAGUGAGCAGAAAUAUGUGUGCAGGAGAGAAGUUAUCCGACAUGUCGGCGAACAUGCAGACUGUCGGUGUUUGCAGCAGAUGGAUGAGUGACAGCGACUUGAUUCAGCACAGAUGGACUGAAGCCAGCAGUGAGACGGAGGCCCAGAUUCUCUCUGAGCU